UACGUAGGUGACAAGCGUUGUCCGGAUUUACUGGGCGUAAAGAGCGCGCAGGCGGUCGUUCAAGUCGAGUGUGAAAGCCCCCGGCUCAACUGGGGAGGGUCAUUCGAUACUGAUCGACUCGAAGGCAGGAGAGGGUAGUGGAAUUCCCGGUGUAGUGGUGAAAUGCGUAGAUAUCUGGAGGAACACCGGUGGCGAAGGCGACAUCCUGGACCGGUAUUGACGCUGAGGCGCGAAAGCCAGGGGAGCAAACGGG
rnacentral:rRNA from 1 species